AGUUAUUAAUUUUAAUGGACACUUUAACUGGUGUACCCAGAAGGAUGACAACAUGCAAACACCAUUUACCAUUCCAAGGAUGCAUUGCUAGAGUUUAAAGAAGUCCAGCAAACAUCAAGCUCCUCAUCCUUUGAUGAUUUUGUUUCUUUUUAUAAGCGCCUUGCGAAAGCUCUCUUGGAUAUUACAGCACUUACAUCAACCAGUGGCAUGAUAACCGAAUCCUGCCAGUGAGUUAGAUGAAAUCAAUCCAACAACUAACAUCAAAUGAACUACUAACAGUACGAAAUAAAUUUACAAGUCUCUAUUUGUCAAACUCCAUAUUCUUUUUGAACUCUUUGGAUCCAACUAAUGGGGUAGCUAACAUCAUUGACCAUAGAAGCUUUGACCAGAUUAGCAUAGUGAAUUCAACUCAAGUUGCUUGCUUUUGUGGGACAUAGUACGAUUUUCUACCUUUAUCAUUAUGUGCUAUUCAUGCAUUAGAAUUAAUGCAAGACAGUUUUCAAAUGGCAUAUAGGGUACCAAAAGGUUUCCUCAGGAAACUUAAUGAAAAUGCGUCCUGAGUUUUCCUUUUCAGCAUGUAGAUGAACUAAAAAAGAGCUUAUGCACAAUAUAAGCAAUUAUUCUACAGUACGGCCGAUAUUGUCAAAAGACAUUCUGCUAAUGUCUUGCUUAGCUCAAAAGUACCGGUAUAUAACAGUUGGCUUUUCCAACUCUACAAACAUCAAGAUGCAUUCUUUUGCUAAUACGUCUGUUCCAUCUGUUGAAAUUCCCUGCAAGUGUCCUUUGUAAAUAUUCAUUGUCCCUAAAUCCUCCAAAUUGCAUUAAUUCUAAGACACGAUAAGGCGUGUAAGACAUCUUGCUGACUUAACUUGACCUGACAGAAUACAUCAAGGCAAAAAGCGCAAGAAAUUACAUUGUAUCUUUCAAAAAGUGAGGCCUUCUAAUCCAAUGAGGGACAACAAUCAACCCAUCAAUUUUAACCCUUGUUACCUGUGGAUAAUUAAAAUAGUGCUGGACUAAAAAAAAAAAAAAACCAUAAUUGACAACCAGCAAACCACCCUAACUUGAGUCACCUUUAUCUAUUUGAAAUGCUCUUAAAUAUUUAUGAAAACUGUAGCAAGAUGACAUGAAAUGAAUAACUAACCACAAAACAGGAGUCAUUUACAAUUGCACAUCAUCAGUUUAGCAACUAAUUUGGUGCUAAUACUCUGGUACACAAAUGAAUAGCACAACCCAGUGAAGGCCUACCAAAAUAGUUACUAGAGUACAUGAAGGAAAUACUAAGCUGUCCACACUGUGCAGUAUCCAAGGAAUAUUAAGCUAACCAACUUUCUCGCUUCGAAGACAAGGAGACUGUCCACAACCUCU
rnacentral:lncRNA from 1 species